GAGAACUGGAGUAGAGAAGGAGAAGCCAACGGCAAAUUCCGGGCAGGAAGUCGACCUACCCUUGCCUCUGGCCAGGUCGCAGGAAACUAAGUAUAUGCUUUUCAGUGUCAAUCAUCAGACAGAUCCCAAAUACUUUGGAGAGAGGCAAUAAGCCUAUCCCCAGGAUAUGAAUUAUUAUUGGGAUACACCAAACAUGACAAUCUCAUUU